UUCAGUUGUACUUGUUUCGCUGAUUAAUUACAGAAACGGUUCGUAAGUGUGUCGUGGAGCAAAAAUACUUCUUCCUUUGCAUAAUCAAAUCAGCAUGUAGAAUCGAGGGGGUGGAGAAGGGCGGAAUUUACAAAAGAAAUAACCGAUCGAGAAAUGGAGAGGGCGGGAUGCCGAGGUGUUCGCCACGGUGGGAAUUAAAGAGACUGGUGCUCAGCACUACGGGCAAAAGCCUGUAUGCUUUGUGUCGAGAUGUAAACCUGAGUACUUCUUUCUUUUGGAUUGGAAAUGUUUUUCCAGUACUGAGGUCUUUCUUUUCUGUGGUGGCUCCAACCAACUGAUUGAUGUUCGCAAUAUCGGCAGAGGGACCGGCGAUCAGGGAGGUACCAGUGUCCACAAUUGCCUGGCAGCCACCAUUACAAGCCACAGUUUUUCCGUUGAUGGUAAC